GUAGUGCCCGAUUAAAAAAUUAUCAUGUUUCUUCACAUGUCAGACUUAAGAGAUUUUUCCUCUUUCAUAAGGGGAAAGAUCUAUGAGAUUAUAUUCAUGUUUCUGAGCAUAAU